AUACGUAGGGGGCGAGCGUUGUCCGGAAUUAUUGGGCGUAAAGGGUUCGCAGGCGGCCUUUUAAGUCAGAUGUGAAAUCCCACGGCUUAACCGUGGUAAGCAUUUGAAACUGGAAGGCUUGAGUUAAGGAGGGGAAAGUGGAAUUCCUAGUGUAGCGGUGAAAUGCGUAGAUAUUAGGAGGAAUACCAGUGGCGAAGGCGACUUUCUGGACUUAUACUGACGCUGAGGAACGAAAGCGUGGGGAGCAAACAGGAUUAGAUACCCUGGUAGUCCACGCCGUAAACGAUGAGUGCUAGGUGUUGGGGGUCAAACCUCGGUGCCGCAGCUAACGCAUUAAGCACUCCGCCUGGGGAGUACGUACGCAAGUAUGAA
rnacentral:rRNA from 1 species